rnacentral:rRNA from 1 species
GUGAGCUAAUACCGGAUGAUGUCUUCGGACCAAAGAUUUAUCGCCUUUAGAUGGGCCCGCGUUGGAUUAGCUAGUUGGUGGGGUAAAGGCCUACCAAGGCGACGAUCCAUAGCUGGUCUGAGAGGAUGAUCAGCCACACUGGGACUGAGACACGGCCCAGACUCCUACGGGAGGCAGCAGUGGGGAAUAUUGGACAAUGGGCGAAAGCCUGAUCCAGCAAUGCCGCGUGAGUGAUGAAGGCCUUAGGGUUGUAAAGCUCUUUUACCCGAGAUGAUAAUGACAGUAUCGGGAGAAUAAGCUCCGGCUAACUCCGUGCCAGCAGCCGCGGUAAUACGGAGGGAGCUAGCGUUGUUCGGAAUUACUGGGCGUAAAGCGCACGUAGGCGGCUUUUUAAGUCAGGGGUGAAAUCCCGGGGCUCAACCCCGGAACUGCCCUUGAAACUGGGAAGCUAGAAUCUUGGAGAGGCGAGUGGAAUUCCGAGUGUAGAGGUGAAAUUCGUAGAUAUUCGGAAGAACACCAGUGGCGAAGGCGACUCGCUGGACAAGUAUUGACGCUGAGGUGCGAAAGCGUGGGGAGCAAAAGGGAUUAGAUACCCCAGUA